CUUGCUCUCGGGUGACGAGCGGCGGACGGGUGAGUAAUGUCUGGGAAACUGCCUGAUGGAGGGGGAUAACUACUGGAAACGGUAGCUAAUACCGCAUAAUGUCGCAAGACCAAAGUGGGGGACCUUCGGGCCUCAUGCCAUCAGAUGUGCCCAGAUGGGAUUAGCUAGUAGGUGGGGUAACGGCUCACCUAGGCGACGAUCCCUAGCUGGUCUGAGAGGAUGACCAGCCACACUGGAACUGAGACACGGUCCAGACUCCUACGGGAGGCAGCAGUGGGGAAUAUUGCACAAUGGGCGCAAGCCUGAUGCAGCCAUGCCGCGUGUGUGAAGAAGGCCUUCGGGUUGUAAAGCACUUUCAGCGGGGAGGAAGGCGGUGAGGUUAAUAACCUCAUCGAUUGACGUUACCCGCAGAAGAAGCACCGGCUAACUCCGUGCCAGCAGCCGCGGUAAUACGGAGGGUGCAAGCGUUAAUCGGAAUUACUGGGCGUAAA
rnacentral:rRNA from 1 species